rnacentral:siRNA from 1 species
CGGUCGCUGAGCAACAUAAGGAGA